rnacentral:rRNA from 1 species
CAAUAGCGUAUAUUAAAGUUGUUGCAGUUAAAAAGCUCGUAGUUGGAUUUCUGGUUGGAGCGACCGGUCGGGCAUUGAUUUGUCUGCACUGGAGUCGGUUCUGGCCAUCCUCUUGGAAAGUGCGUCUGUCAUUAAGUUGUCGGGCGUAUGAUCCAGGUCUUUUACUGUGAAAAAAUUAGAGUGUUUAAAGCAGGCCUUCGCCUUGAAUACAUUAGCAUGGAAUAAUAAGAUAGGACUUUGGUCUAUUUUGUUGGUUUGCAGACCGAAGUAAUGAUUAAUAGGGAUAGUUGGGGGUAUUUAUAUUCCAAUGUCAGAGGUGAAAUUCUUAGAUUUUUGGAAGAUAAACUUAUGCGAAANCANNNACCAAGGAUGUUUUCAUNAA